GGGGUUGUGGUUCAGUGGCAGAGUGCUUGCCUAGCAUGUGUGAGGCACUAAGCUCGAUUCUUAGCACCACA
rnacentral:tRNA from 1 species